rnacentral:lncRNA from 1 species
AGGAUUGCCAAAUAAAAAGCUCUCACCAAAAGAAUAGCACCUUCAAAUGCUGAAAGGAUUACCCGAGUAAAUAAAGCAUGACAAUUUUGUGCACGUAGAUAAAAUGAAUUCCUUGGAGGGGAAAGGUCCAUAUCCGGCAGAGCUUCUGCCACUGCUACAUUUUUUCGACAUGUUAAGGCAAAUAUACCAGGAACAACAACGGCAGAGCGGCACAAGGCCAAACUAACCGC